AUUCCACAAAAAAAUAAAAAUUCUCAUAUAUAAUUUUUUUAUAAAAAAAGUUUCCUCCUCUUUCCUUAAUCAACCAAACUCCAAUUCUUGAUCAGUCAGUUUCUCUUUUCUCCAAACAUCAGGUAUGGCCGACGUAUUGGGAAUGUUUACAGUACAACAAACCAUAGGAAAUGUGUUAUGCUGCAAAUGCGGAAUCUCGAUGCAGCCAAAUGCUGCAAAUAUGUGUGCUAAAUGCUUGCGAUCCGAAGUUGAUAUAACAGAAGGCUUACAGAAACAUGUAGUGAUUGUUCACUGCCCUGAAUGUGAUAGUUAUUUGCAGCCUCCAAGGAGUUGGAUCAAAGCGCAGCUCGAAUCGAAGGAGUUACUCACUUUUUGUAUCAAGAGGCUGAAGAAUUUGAAUAAAGUUAAGUUGGUGAAUGCCGAGUUUAUUUGGACUGAACCUCAUUCAAAAAGGAUCAAAGUUAGGCUUAAAGUCCAAAAAGAGGUACUAAAUGGAGCGGUUCUUGAACAAUCGUACAUCGUCGAGUAUGUUGUCCAAGACCAAAUGUGUGAGUUGUGUUCGAAGGUGCAAGUUAAUCCUGAUCAAUGGGUCGCUGCGGUGCAACUUAGACAACACGUGUCUCACCGAAGAACGUUCUUCUAUUUGGAGCAGCUGAUUCUUAAGCACGAUGCUGCUAAUCGUGCUAUAAAGAUUCAACAGUUGGAUCAGGGAAUUGACUUCUUCUUUGGUCAUAGAAGUCAUGCUUUGAAGUUUGUGGAUUUUGUCAGUAGGGUGGUACUUGUUAGGACCAGAAAUGACAAGCAACUCGUGUCUCAUGAUCAUAAGAGCAAUAUCGUCAAUUAUAAGUACACUUUCUCCAUAGAAAUCAGCCCGGUUUGUCGUGAGGAUCUGAUAUGUCUCCCUCCAAAGGUGGCAGCUAGUUUAGGAAAUAUCGGUCCUCUAGUGAUCUGCACGAAAGUAAGCAACAAUAUCGCUCUAUUAGAUCCGUUCACGCUGAGGCAUUGUUUCCUAGAUGCUGAUCAGUACUGGAGGGCAUCGUUUAAGCCUUUACUAUCUAGUAGACAGCUUGUCGAGUAUGUGGUUUUAGACGUUGAUGUGGUUUCCGAAGAAGUUAAUAUUGGAGGCUCGAAGUAUGUUUUAGCUGAUAUCCAAGUUGCUCGUGUUUCUGAUUUUGGGAAAAAUGACACAAUAUUCUCCGUAAGAACGCAUCUAGGCCAUCUUCUAGACUCUGGAGACUAUGCCCUCGGUUAUGAUUUAUAUCGAGCCAAUAGUAAUGACAUUGAGCUUGAAAAGUACAAAGGCCUUUUCCUUCCAGAGGUGAUAUUGAUUAAGAAAAGCUACGAAGAGAAACUCCAAAAGAAACGUGGGAAGCCUCGGUCUUGGAAGCUUAAGUCACUCAAUAUGGAAGUCGAUAACUCUGGAAAGGGAAGAGAUCAAGAACAAAAGAUGAACUCUGAGUAUGAACAAUUCUUGAGAGAUUUAGAGGAGAAUCCUGAUCUGAGGUUCAACAUAUCAUUGUAUCGUGAUAAAGAAUAUCAACGAUCAGAAGCUACUUCUAUUGCUGAUGGAGAAGAUGUUCCUUCUAUUCCUUCGGAGGAGUUACUUGCUGAUAUUGAUCUGAGGGACAUUGAUGUUGAAGAAGAUGGCAUAAGGGAGUGAACUGAAGACUCGUGAAUUAGAACCAGAACUUGAAGUUUGCCUCUGAAGCUUGCCUUGAUGAUGUUGUGCAAGUUAGUAGCUUCAUAAAUUUUGCGUCUAGUAUUAGUAGAAUGAAUUUGAGUUGAGUCUUUUGGAAACAGCCUCUCUACCUCCAUGAGGUAGUAGUAAGGUCUGCGUACAUUCUACCCUCUCCAGACCUCACUUGUGGGAUUUCCUUGGAUUUUAUAGACCAAAAGGUAAUGUUCAAUUAGUACACUUCAACGGAGUACAAAUAAGCUAGCAACGGAUGACACAACCUCACUGCCAAAUGAUCUUGGGGGCGAAAUGUAACAGGUAACAUUCUAUCUAUGUUUAGAUCUUAUUUUUCAAAAAAUCUGGCAAGUAACUUCCUUCAUACACAAAAAAUCUCCUUUACAAUCAGACAGUUACUUCAUCCUUUGUAUACAAUCACACUCUUUACAGUAAUCUUUCUCACCCUACAAGUAUGAGUCUUGCUAUUUUUCCUGUUAGCUAUUUCCGUUCUAUACACAUAUCUAUCUACUCAAAAGAAUGAACAAACAGUUUAUAAGGUGGACAAGAUGGUGAGCAACAUGUUUUUAUGUGGAAAAGCUAGUGUUUCAAAUAUUUUGGACAAGACAGAAGGCACCAGUUCUCUGUGGAACUUCUUCAAUAGAUUGAUAAUUCACCUCGUAGUUUCUUCCGUGGCCAAAUUAUUCCCUGCCCAUAAAACCUAGAAGGAAAAAGAAACAAAGACAAACUUAGGAAAUGGAGGAAAUCUUAGUGUAUGUAUGGAACUGCACAUCAAGAUAAAGGGUACGGAAAAGGAAAACUACCUCAGCAAAAAUUGCUAUUAUAUUCGGUAUAUAAAAUCCAUCAGGGGCUCAGGGCCAAUAACUUUCUGCUCUGACCUGAAAUAUCAAGGCACGGUGCAAGCAAUGCGUAAGAAAUGUUGAAGUUUUGAUAAUCAUUGAUUGCUUACUGCUAUAGCCUACGGGGAAUACUUACGUCUCCAUCAUUGAACAAAGUAGUUCGUGACUGAUUCUAGCCUCAUCCAGAUUACACUUUAUUGGUAAGUGGCUUAGCCAGAGCCGGAUGAACUGAGACAAGAACGUUUAUAAUAUGUCAGUCGAUAAAUGACAAAUUUAUCAAACUACAGUCAAGAGAAGUCGUAGAUUUGUGACAAGUGUUUGUUACACACACUAACAUUUCUAUAUAUAGUUAAGUGUUGCUCAGCUUCCUCCUCAAGUAUUUCCUGCUCCCUUAUAUCUGUGUUCUCUUUAGCUCUUCUCUCUCUUUCUAUUUUGCAGUAUGAGCAUGUUGAGAGAACCUUUGAUUUGCCUUCAACAAAUUUUUCAGCUUGGUGUUUACUUGGUCAUGAACCCGGGAUCUGUGAGUAAGUACUUUUUGGUGUACAGACGAAUGAGUUAUACAAAAGACAAAAGAGUUAUUGGCUGCAGACCUUACCCCUACCUUGAAAGGUAGAGAGACUGUUUCCGAUAGACUGCAAUUUUAGGUUGGUAAUAGAUAUUUAUCUCAUCAAACAGUGCUAUUUAGUGAAGUGACUAAUGACCUCAUAGAAGAUUUUUGAAACCUUUAAGUGCUUAGAAUGACACAUCAGAUGUUGCCUCUAAAUAAACAGGCAGAUGAGCAGAAGUCACUUCACGGAUUCGAUUUCUUUACAUUCUGGUUCAAUAGAGUAAUUUCAUAUGGUAUAGAUGUAGCUUGUACGGAACUCUUAUUCAAAUGUACGAAAACUCACAACCAUCUACAUCUUUACAUAGUACUAAUACAUAAGCCAUCCAUGUAAAUAUAAUUUCGUACAAGUAGUUAUAGUAAAAGAUCCAACCUUUCAUCAUCAGAAUCAUCUGUAUCUGAAUCAUUGGAUCUUCUAUCUCCAUUUUAUUUUCUUGCAGUGAAAUGAGUACUGCAGUGAGACCUAAAACAACACAUCACAUAAGGUAAAUGCAUUUUCAUAUCUCAAGCGAUGUUGAUAGUUUCACAUGUAUAUAAUGCCUGCUAAGUGCUAACGGAAAUAUAUAAACUGUAUUCACCUUUUCAGCAUAACCAUAGAUUGCUUGAUUUCCAACAGCCAUUGUAAGUUAAUAACCAUGGUAAUGCAUUCCAUUGAUUUGGCAAGUAGCGUGCGACUUGUAUCAUUAGUAGCAGUUUUCAGGAUAUAUCCCAAAAUGUCCUGAUACAUUGCGUCUCGAUUUUGGACGCAUCACUCAAUGUCUCGAUACAUCAAAUGGUAGGGAAUGUUAGAGAAUGGCUAGCAAAUAAAGAAGGUCAGCAGAUGAUGAUGAUGAACAAGUACUCCAUUGCAAAUAAAAUUAAGGCAAAAUAUUUUAUGAGAAUUAGAGAAGCUACUCGGAAGAAGAAAUCAGUACCGUUUUUUCAUAUUUGCAAAGGGAAGAGCGUAUUGGAGCCGUCAAACAAUAAUACAGACCAAAUGGAUGUUGAUCAGGCCCGCACAGUUCACUUCGAAGAGGGAAUAAUUAUGAACAUCCUUAGCAGGUUAUCUGGCGAUCUCUUCAUAAAUACAAAUGUGUUUCAAAUUUUAGAAUUCAUUGAUCUUCUAUCCACUGUGCCGAACGACCAAAAUUUGAAGCAUGCCAAGAACGACCAAAAUUCCCAAAAAUUUCUUAUUACCCACUGUGCCGGACUGAAUAUAGAUAUAACAGCUACUGUUGUCCUAUAUCGUCGGUGGUUGAGGAUGCACUCGCCCUUUCAGCUCUAAACCAUUUUUUAGAGUUCUGUGUGGUUGCGAUGGCUUUGUUGUUGUCAUAGUUUCUGAUAUUAUCGGUGAUAAACAACCCAUGCAUUUGCUAUGGAACCCCUCCAUAAGAGAAUCAAUAGUACUUCCUGCUCCAGAGUUUGAAAUAGUCGAAAGUACUCGUUAUGGAUUUGGUUAUGACUCAACUAGCGGUGACUAUAAGAUCAUUAGAAUUUGUAAUAAAGGACCUACUGAAAUUCUUGCAUUGAAAGGUGGUUCCUGGAGAAAAAUUGAUAAACAUCCUGAUGCUCUUUCCAAUGCGGUGAGUCGUACUAGUUCUUUGGCAUUUGUAUACGAAGCAUUUUAUUGGAUCGGUAGCUCAAGAGACCCUGGAUCACUAGUGGUGUUACUAUGUCCUGGUAGCUCAAAGGAAUGUUCUUGUUUCAUUUAGUAUUUCAAAAGAAGUGUAUGGAGAGAUACCGUUGCCAGAACAAAUAUUAUCCUUCGAGGGCAUCAUCUAUCUUGGUGUUUUAGCAUUGAACAGAAUGCUAUGUGUUUAUUCUGCUACUUAUCUUCAGGGGUUUGAAACUUAUAAGUUAUGGGUAUUAAAAGACUAUGGUGUCAAGGAAUCUUGGAGUGCAUUGUUUACCUUAGAAGAUUCUUCGGUUUAUAGAGUCAUUCUGAAAUAUAGAUUUGCGGAUGGUGAAUUUCUAUUCAGUUGCUAUCAUUAUCCGAUUUGUGGGGCUCUAUUUCGUACAUCCAGUGUGCCGUUUGUGUCAUCGCUGUAACCUAGCCGUCAAAACAUAGUAACUUUUACAGAAAGCUUGAUCUCUCUGAAAUUAUUAGUUUCUUAUGUAUGAUUGGUGGUUUAGGUCCUUCGAAAACGGUCUCUUUACCUUCAUGAGGUAGAGGUAUGGUCUGCUUACGGUCUGUCCUCUCCGGAUUCUAUUUGUGGAAUUUCAUGUGGUAUGUUUUUGUUUAUGUAUGAUCGAUGCACUUUCUUUUUCCAAUAAUUAUGUUAUUACAAUCUUGUACUCUUUUAA